AGGGCGCAUGGCGGAUGCCUUGGCUCUCGGAGGCGAUGAAGGACGUGAUAAGCUGCGAUAAGCUUUGGGGAGGUGCAAAUGACCUUUGAUCCAGAGAUUUCCGAAUGGGACAACCCAAUAUCUUGAAGAGGUAUUAUCCAACGUUGUUGGAGGCUAACGCAGGGAACUGAAACAUCUUAGUACCUGCAGGAAAAGAAAAUAAACAAUGAUUCCCCCAGUAGUGGCGAGCGAACGGGGAACAGCCCAAACCAUCCAUGUUACGGCAUGGGUGGGGUUGUAGGACUACGCCGUUGCAUGAAGACAUCAGAGAAGAACUUUCUGGAAAGAAAGACCAUAGAGCAUGACAGUUGCGUAUUCGAAUGUUGUCGAAGCAUAGUAGUAUCCUGAGUAGCGCGGAGCACGAGGAAUUCUGCGUGAAUCUGCCGGGACCAUCCGGUAAGGCUAAAUACUCCCGAGAGACCGAUAGCGAACCAGUACCGUGAGGGAAAGGUGAAAAGCACUUCGAACAGAAGAGUGAAAUAGUUCCUGAAACCGUGCGCCUACAAGCGGUCGGAGCUCGUUAAUGAGUGACGGCGUGCCUUUUGCAUAAUGAACCUACGAGUUGCCUUUGCCGGCAAGGUUAAGUGUGACGACACACGUAUCCGAAGCGAAAGCGAGUCUGAAGAGGGCGUAUAGUCGGCAGUGGCAGACGCGAAACCAAGUGAUCUACCCUUGGCCAGGUUGAAGGCUGGGUAACACCAGCUGGAGGACCGCACCAAUAAGCGUUGAAAAGCUUCUGGAUGAGCUGAGGGUAGGGGUGAAAGGCUAAUCAAACUUGGAGAUAGCUCGUACUCCCCGAAAUGCAUUUAGGUGCAGCCUUGCGGGUUACUGAUGUGAGGUAGAGCGACUGAUAAGAUGCGAGGGCUUCACCGCCUAUCAAGUCUUGACAAACUCCGAAUGCGCAUCAGUUCUACCGCAGGAGUGAGGGCAUGGGUGCUAAGGUCCGUGCCCGAGAGGAGAAGAAUCCGGACCACCUGCUAAGGUCCCGAAAUGACAGCUAAGUUAAACUAACGAAGUCUGACUGCUAAGACAGCUAGGAUGUUGGCUUGGAAGCAGCCAUUCAUUUAAAGAGUGCGUAACAGCUCACUAGUCGAGGAGUCGGGCGUGGAUAAUAAUCGGGUAUCAAGUUGUCUACCGAAGCAGUGGGAUCAUUUAUAUGAUCGGUAGGGGAGCAUUCCAGUCAGCGUCGAAGGCGUACCGUGAGGUAUUCUGGAGCGUCUGGAAAAGCAAAUGUAGGUAUAAGUAACGAUAAAGGGGGCGGGAAACCCCCUCGCCGAAAGACUAAGGUUUCCUGAUCAACGCUAAUCGGAUCAGGGUCAGUCGGGUCCUAAGGCUCAGCCGAACGGCGAUGCCGAUGGCAGAAACGGUUAAUAUUCCGUUACUACCUUCAGGAGUGACGUGGAGACGCAGUAGUGACAGUGCCGCCAUCUGACGGAAUAGAUGGUUGAAGGGUGUAGGAGUCGAUCAUGGCAGGCAAAUCCACCAUGAGAUCCGAACCUGAUAGUAUGCCGCGUCCUUCGGGACAAGGCAAUAGUGCGCGUAAGCAUGCUGCCGAGAAAAUCCGCUAAACUUAAUCCUGUAGGUACCCGUACCGCAAACGGACACACGUAGUCGGGAUGAAUAUUCUAAGGCGCUUGAGUGAUUCACGGUUAAGGAACUAGGCAAACUGACCCUGUAACUUCGGGAUAAAGGGUCCCUACCCUUUUAUGGGAGGGCGCAGAGAAUCGGUCCAGGCAACUGUUUAACAAAAACACAGGGCUGUGCCAAAUCGAAAGAUCCAGUAUACAGCCUGACACCUGCCCGGUGCUGGAAGGUUAAGAGGAGAUGUCAUCGAUAAGAGAAGCGUUGAAUUGAAGCCCCAGUAAACGGCGGCCGUAACUAUAACGGUCCUAAGGUAGCGAAAUUCCUUGUCGGGUAAGUUCCGACCUGCACGAAUGGUGUAAUGAUCUGGACGCUGUCUCAACCGUGAGCUCAGUGAAAUUGUAGUAUCGGUGAAGAUGCCGAUUACCCGCGAUGGGACGAAAAGACCCCGUGAACCUUUACUAUAGCUUAUCAUUGAAUCUGGGCACGUGAUGUGUAGGAUAGGUCGGAGGCUUUGAAGCAGGUACGCCAGUAUUUGUGGAGCCGCUGUUGAAAUACGACCCUUUAUUUGUUUGGAUUCUAACCCGUGGAACGGGGACAUUGAUUGGUGGGUAGUUUGACUGGGGUGGUCGCCUCCAAAAGCGUAACGGAGGCUUCU
rnacentral:rRNA from 1 species